GAAACCGGGUGAUCUAGCCAUGGGCAGGUUGAAGGUUGAGUAACAUCAACUGGAGGACCGAACCGACUAAUGUUGAAAAAUUAGCGGAUGACUUGUGGCUAGGGGUGAAAGGCCAAUCAAACUCGGAGAUAGCUGGUUCUCCCCGAAAGCUAUUUAGGUAGCGCCUCGGACGAAUACUACUGGGGGUAGAGCACUGUUAAGGCUAGGGGGUCAUCCCGACUUACCAACCCUUUGCAAACUCCGAAUACCAGUAAGUACUAUCCGGGAGACACACGGCGGGUGCUAACGUCCGUCGUGGAGAGGGAAACAACCCAGACCGCCAGCUAAGGUCCCAAAGUAUUGCUAAGUGGGAAACGAUGUGGGAAGGCUCAGACAGCUAGGAUGUUGGCUUAGAAGCAGCCAUCAUUUAAAGAAAGCGUAAUAGCUCACUAGUCGAGUCGGCCUGCGCGGAAGAUGUAACGGGGCUAAGCAAUACACCGAAGCUGCGGCAAUGUCUUUUAGACAUUGGGUAGGGGAGCGUUCUGUAAGCCGUUGAAGGUGAAUCGUAAGGUUUGCUGGAGGUAUCAGAAGUGCGAAUGCUGACAUGAGUAACGACAAAGGGGGUGAAAAACCUCCUCGCCGGAAGACCAAGGGUUCCUGUCCAACGUUAAUCGGGGCAGGGUGAGUCGACCCCUAAGGUGAGGCCGAAAGGCGUAAUCGAUGGGAAACGGGUUAAUAUUCCCGUACUUCUGACUAUUGCGAUGGGGGGACGGAGAAGGCUAGGUGGGCCAGGCGACGGUUGUCCUGGUUCAAGUGCGUAGGCUUGAGAGUUAGGUAAAUCCGGCUCUCUUUAAGGCUGAGACACGACGUCGAGCUACUACGGUAGUGAAGUCAUUGAUGCCAUGCUUCCAGGAAAAGCCUCUAAGCUUCAGAUAGUCAGGAAUCGUACCCCAAACCGACACAGGUGGUCGGGUAGAGAAUACCAAGGCGCUUGAGAGAACUCGGGUGAAGGAACUAGGCAAAAUGGUACCGUAACUUCGGGAGAAGGUACGCUCUUGAUGGUGAAGUCCCUCGCGGAUGGAGCUGACGAGAGUCGCAGAUACCAGGUGGCUGCAACUGUUUAUUAAAAACACAGCACUGUGCAAAAUCGCAAGAUGACGUAUACGGUGUGACGCCUGCCCGGUGCCGGAA
rnacentral:rRNA from 1 species